rnacentral:rRNA from 1 species
GACGAACGCUGGCGGCGUGCCUAAUACAUGCAAGUCGAACGCUGAAGGAGGAGCUUGCUUCUCCGGAUGAGUUGCGAACGGGUGAGUAACGCGUAGGUAACCUGCCUGGUAGCGGGGGAUAACUAUUGGAAACGAUAGCUAAUACCGCAUAAGAGUAGAUGUCGCAUGACAUUUGCUUAAAAGGUGCAACUGCACCACUACCAGAUGGACCUGCGUUGUAUUAGCUAGUUGGUGAGGUAACGGCUCACCAAGGCAACGAUACAUAGCCGACCUGAGAGGGUGAUCGGCCACACUGGGACUGAGACACGGCCCAGACUCCUACGGGAGGCAGCAGUAGGGAAUCUUCGGCAAUGGACGGAAGUCUGACCGAGCAACGCCGCGUGAGUGAAGAAGGUUGUCGGAUCGUAAAGCUCUGUUGUAAGAGAAGAACGAGUGUGAGAGUGGAAAGUUCACACUGUGACGGUAUCUUACCAGAAAGGGACGGCUAACUACGUG